AGCGAGUCAGUUGCAAACUGGGUUGGGGAGUAGCAACGUCUCUAGAAAAGGGUUAAAGAAACCCCUUGAAUUUCAAGCUGAAGUCCUGCCUGCAACAGCCUCUUAAUACUCAAGACGUGUGUCCGCUGGAGGAGGAGGGAUCCAUUUGUACGUGUUGCAACUUUUAGUGGUGCUUUGUUAAAUGGGAAAAUACGAUUCGCUGAUGGUGGGGGCAGAAGGGGAAACUAAAGCGUGGUGAAGUCUGGCUCCUACGCCGCCAGAAAGGGGCUACGGGGAGGACAGAUUGCACUCGCCUGCCCUGGGGCUAAUCUGACAGGCUCUUCUUUCGUAGCCCUCCCGGGAGCAGCCGACUGAGACGUGCUGUUCCUCAUGCUCUUGCGGGGUUCGCGUUGCAUUGUGCAAUGCAAGCCCUUGUGUAUCCCUCUUUGCUGCUGCCCCAGUGUUUCAGUACCGCAGCCAGGCGGCGGCGGCGGCUGCUGCUGCUGAGGAGCGGGGGGUGGGGACCCGUCCGCCCAACCACGUCUGCAGGCGGGGAGUUAAGAGUUAAGCUGGGGCCCGCUUUGCGUAGCUAGAGCAGCCGGGACUGGUGGUUCCAGCUCCUGUCAGGGCGAAUCCAGGCCGCACAUUGGUGGCGCCCGCAGCCGUCGGAUCUACUUUCUCUAGCCCUGUUCUUUUCCUCCCCUUCCCCUCGCCUCCUCCUCCGGCGGCUCCAGGCUGGCUCGGGGAGGAUCCAGAGAGCUGAAGUUGCGAGGCGAUUCGGGGCUCGCCGACCGGCCCCUGCCAUGGGGGCUUUGGCAGGACGCGUCUAGAAGCGCUCCUGCUCCUUGUCCGUGCCCAGGCGCCCGGGGAAGUGGCCUGGGAAGUGCUCGCAGCCGUCGGUGGAUUUGGGAGAGUAACAUGGCUGAUCUAAGGGAGUGCUGAGCAGUUUGUGUCUCUGUACGACGGUGGGCUCGGAUUGUAACAUGUAAAUAACUUCUUCCUUUGGACAAUACGCCUGGGCAUAGAUGCCAGCCCCUCCAUUUCCCAAAAAGGGUCUGUGAGAGGUUCUCGGGCUCUGGAUUAUGCUGUGCAAAACCAAUUCGCUGGCGGUCUACUCUUUGCAAGCCUGACGGAUAGUGUGAAAAGCACCUGAUGAUGUUGGCAGAGCAGAGAGGACAGAAUGGAGAGAAUGUGAAGGAAGACCAAAUCAGAGUGACUGGUGUCAGAUGCAUCUGAAGGAACGAAUAGAACAGGGGAACUGUCAAGAGGGCAUCCUAGCUGUUGGGUUAUCCUAGCUUCCUGCACUCAGAAUCUUAGGGAAACCUGAAGCAUUAUGUCGAAUCCUGACCAUCUUGACUAAUAGUUAUGGAUGGAUUUAUCUUCCAUUAACUUAACUAAUUCUUCUUUUGAACCCAGUUAUACUUUUGGCCUUCACAACAUCUGUUGGCAAUGAGCUCAUAAGUCUGAGUGUGUAAUGUGUGAAGAAGUACUUUCUUAUGUCUGUUUUAAAUCAGUUGUGUAUUAAUUUCACUGGGUGGACCUCUUGAUUCCUGUGUUUAUAUGAAGCAUAAAUAACACUUCCUUAUUCAUUUUCUCCACACCAGUUAUGAUUUUGUAUCCUUAUCCCUACUUACUCAUCUCUUUUUCUAAACUGAAGAGUCCCAGUCUUUUUAAUAUCUCUUCAUACAGAAGCUGCUUGAUACCCCUAAUUGUUUGGGUUGCCCUUCUGUGUAUUUUUUCCAAUUCUAAUCUUUUUUAAGAGAGCAACGAGAAUUUCAUGCAGCAUACAAUGUAUUUACAGAGUGACUUUGAUAUUUACUGUCUUAUUAUCUGUCCCUUUCCUAAUGGUCUUUUCUCUGUCUGCAAGCCUUUUGGACUGCCACUAUACAUUGGGUGAAUGUUUUCAGAGAACUAUCCAUGAUGACUCCAAGAUCUCUUUGAGUGGUAACAGCUAAUCCACACCUCAUGAUUUUGUAUGUAAAUUUAGGAUUAUGUUUUCCAGUAUGUAUUACUUUGUAUUUAUCAACAUUGAAUAUUGUGUGCUAUUUUGUUGCCCAGCUUUGUGAGAUUGAGUUUCUCUUUGCAGUUACCUUUGGACUUAACUAUGAUGAGUAAUUUUGUAUCAUGUAAAAAUUUGCUAUCUCACUAUUCACCCCCUUUUUCUAAAUGAUUUAUGAAUAUGUUCAAUACCACAUUCUCGAUACAAAUAUUGGGGUGACCCCACUAUUUCUCGCCAUUGUGAAAACUUACCUUUUAUUUGUACCCUCUGUUUCCUUUUUUUAAAGAGCUAUCCAUCCAGGAAAGCACUUUUCUUUGUAACUUGUGACUGCCUACUUAACAGCCUUUGUGGGAUGUUGUCAAAGGCUUACUAAAAGUUUAAGUGUACUAUAUGUCCAUGGGAUCACUCUUGUACAUAUGUCGAUCCCCUUAACAAAUUCUGAUAGAUUGCUGAGGUGUGAUUUCUCUUCACGAAAUCCAUGUUGACUUUUCUCCAACAAACUGACUUCAUUUAUGAGUCUGGCAAUUCUAUUCUUUACUAUCAUUUUAGCCAGCUUGCCUGGUACUGAAGUUAGUUUUACAGGCCUGUAAUUGCCAUGAUCACCUUAAUGUCCUUUUUAAAAAAUUGGCAUUGCAUUAGUUAUCCACCAGUUAUCUGGUACAGAUGCUGAUUUUAAGUGUGCGGUUACAAACCACAGUUAAUGGUACUACAGAUUUCUAUUCGAAUUCUUGCAGAACUCUUGGAUGAAUACCAUCUGGUCCUGGUAACUUAUUGCUGAUUAAUCUAUUAACUUGUUCUAAAACUUCUGCUAAUGACACUUCAAUUUUUGACACUUGUCAGCUAAAAAUAAUGGUUCUGCUAUUUGAAACUCCCUCACAUUUUCUAUAGUGAAGACUGGUACAGAAGAUAUUGCCAUAGUUGAGGCACAUAAUGGAGAAUGUAUCCAGAAUCUCUUUUUAUUUUUACCCUUCAUGUUGUGUAACUAUGGUCAGGAAAUAAAGAACUAUGUCUUUUCACACCUGUCUGUGUCUCAGAGUAUACAGUGAGUUGGAAAGGAAGAAGUACAAAUCAUUGUAGGUUCAAAACUGCUCACAAAAUGGAGGCCUGAAUUGAAAAUCUGUCUCUGUGCUAUUAUACUUUAACAGAUUCAUGAUGUUUUCAACAAAAAAAUAAAAAUAAUUGAACAAUGCUGUAUCAACAGACUUCAUUGCUCAUAGGUGUGAGUAGAAUAUCAACCCAGAGUGCAAAGUUGUGAGACAAAUUGUCUUACCUUGAUUAGCAGGAAGGAGUCCAGAAUUCAAAGGGAUGUAAAUUAAAUAUCUAAGAAACUAAGGGUGGGUUAGAACAGGUUUUAGUCACUUUUCACAACAGCCCAUCUUGGUGCUGUUGUUUGUGUCUGUCUCUUUUCAAGUUCAUGUAGCUGCUGUCUCCUUCCAUUUGGCUCUUGUUCUUUUCUAUUGGAGAUAUUUUAAACCAUUUUAAAGAUAAUUCCAGUCGGUAUUUCAGAAGCACAAAAUUAAUUUUUAAAGUCUAGAUCUGAAAGGGUAAAUAUCAUAUUGAAGAGUGAUGGAGGGAAUUUUUGAGUCAAGAUCAAUGGUUUUCAGAGAUGGCUUGUGUGGAUUCGAAUACAGUCUCUCAGGAAUCUCCUUCUAAAACUGAGCUGAAAGAAGAAUUUUUUUGUAACCUUUGUUCUUAUUUGCUCUUGGGGUAACAUGCAGUAUAGUGUUCUUUCACAGCUUAUUUACUUCCUCUCAAUAUCAGCAUAUAUCUUGUCUAUUUGAUGGCAUGUAACUGAUGGCUAUUGUCAAGAUACAGUUUUUAUCAGAAACCAUUUUUAAAAAAACAGCUUAACUCUGAAAAUGACUCCUGGCAGCUAUUAUUUAGGUGUUGAACCUCAUUGAUUAAUGUCCAUGGAGAUCUUUGGAUCCCAAGUACUGUGUCUCUAAGACCUGGUCUAAACUAGAAAAUUAGGUUGGUUUCAGUAUGUAGGUCAGAGGUGUGAAAGAUCCUUAGCUGCAUUGUUAAGCAUAACAUAAGUCCACAUGCAGACUGUGCUAGAUCAACAGAAGAAUUCUUCCAUUGACUUAGCUACCACCUAUUGGGAGAUGGAUUACUUGUUCUGAUCAGCAUAGGUAUUGUUUACAUUGAUGUGCUGCACCGGUGCAUUUGAGCUACUAUAGCUUUUUAAGUGUAGAAGUACCCUAAAUUAAUCACCACCUCAGCUAUUUCUGUGGUCUUUUUUUGAGCUUCUAAAACUUUCUGAAGUCUUGUUUGACUGUUGGGUAGAAUGUUGUUUUAAUUUAUUGAUGUUCAUGUUUCAUGAUUACAUGGCUAGCAUUAUGAUGAGGAAGUGGUGCUUCCAAGAAUUGAUAAUAGAACUUGCUAUUGGAAUUCAAGUGUAAAAGUGCUCAUUUUCUCAUUGCAGGACAAACUUAACAUGUUAAAAUAUCUUCUGAAUGCAGCUUUUUCAGAACUAUCUUUUUCAAAUAGAAAACUGUUUUUAAUAUGUUUGGUAUAACUUUGUUUAAUUUCUAAUCAAGAUGACAAGUUAUUCUGUAAAUCACUAAGCACCUCAUCAGAAACAAUUUGAAGUCAGUGAAAGACCUUUUGAUUUUAAGGGGCUUUGGAUGAGGUCUUCAGGUCUAGAGUAUAAUUUCUUAUUUGCAUGAGUCAUCAACACAGAUAAUUCAAUUGAAAUCAAAGGGAUUAUUUAUGACUGUACAUGCCCACCAGCAAGAGUAAGAAUUAAGCAAUCUAGCCUCUACUUUUUUGUAGCAUUUUGAAUAAUGAUGCAUAUUGAUGUAAUAAUGCAGUUGUGAUAUUAUGCAAUAACGAUGUUGAAGAUAUUAACCAAUUUUGAUAUAUGAUAUUUAUAUAGUGUCAAACUAUGGAGAACUGGAUGACUGGUUGUAUAGAUGUGCUUUGCAAGAUUGUUUUCUCAUAUCUUCUUGAUACUACAAGAGUGAAGCUAACUUUCAUAGAAUCAUAGACCUGUAGCUCUAUGAGAAAGCUCAGUAGCCCAUCUAGUCCAGUCCCCUGCAUUCAAGGCAGGACUUCAAAAUAACUAGAUCCUUUCUAAUAGGUAUUGGUCUAACCUCUUCUUAAAAACCUCCAGUGACAGAGAUGCCACAAGCUCCCCAGACCUGCAUUUCUCAAACUUUAGAUUUUAAAAUUUUCCAUGGAUCCUGAAGAUGGCUUCUGAUUUUCCUCAGGAGUUUUCAACCCUUGCUUGGCCCCAUCAGGCUGCACUGCUGUUAUGCUCCUUGUCCCAAGGCCUGCCCCCUGCUCCACUUCUUCCUGUUUCUCCUCUUCUCGGUCUCUUUCCACCCCCUCCCUGUGUGAAUAGCUGGUCCAGCAUGCAGGAGGCACUGGGAAGGAGAGGGAGGAGGUGAUCAACAGGACCUGUGGUCCUGUUCAUGACUCGUGGACUCCAGUUUGAGAACUGCUGCCUUAAAUAGGGUGCUUAACCACCCUGACAGACAUGAAGUUUUUC